GUAUUUUGGGUCAAGGAUGAACACUGUGAAAACUGAAAGUGAUAGGACAAACAUUUUUUGAGAAAUUAGCAAUUAUAGCUAACCAGUAAACAAUGAACAUUAUGCUGCAAUGCCCCAUGGGAGGUCAGGGUUUUGGGGUUUUAAAUGUUGUUAUUGUGGUUCAUGUUAGUUUUACAGUGCUGUU